rnacentral:tRNA from 1 species
GCGUCGUUAGCGCAAUAGGCAGCGCGUCAGUCUCAUAAUCAAAUCUAGAAAUCUGAAGGUCGUGAGUUCGAUCCUCACACAGGGCA